rnacentral:precursor_RNA from 9 species
AUUAUCAGUAUCAUUUCGCUAGGUACGUGACAGAAGUUGAGUCUAGUUGAGACUGAUAUGUUUCUCACCGGGCAACAACUUCUGUCUCGUGGUAGUAGCUGACGUCAAAUCUAGCC